ensembl:snRNA U4 U4 spliceosomal RNA
AGCUUUGUGCAGUGGCAGUAUCGUAGGCAAUGAGGUUUAUCCGAGGCACGAUUAUUGCUAAUUGAAAGGUGAGAGGAUGCUUUGUCUUGCUGAUUCCUUGGUCUUGAGGUGAUCUUGGCAAUAUCACCAACCCUGUGGGU